rnacentral:rRNA from 1 species
GAGUGAAAAAGAACCUGAAACCGUGUACGUACAAGCAGUGGGAGCCCCACCACUAAGCCAGUGGUGAACUCCACAUACGCAUCCUUUGCUGAGGAUACGGUUAACGGAGCGAAAGCGACGUUCAACCGCAAAAGAAGCAGAGGGGGCUUAGUGGUGGGGUGACUGCGUACCUUUUGUAUAAUGGGUCAGCGACUUAUAUUCUGUAGCAAGGUUAACCGAAUAGGGGAGCCGGAGGGAAACCGAGUCUUAACCGGGCGUUAAGUUGCAGGGUAUAGACCCGAAACCCGGUGAUCUAGCCAUGGGCAGGUUGAAGGUUGGGUAACACUAACUGGAGGACCGAACCGACUAAUGUUGAAAAAUUAGCGGAUGACCUGUGGCUGGGGGUGAAAGGCCAAUCAAACCGGGAGAUAGCUGGUUCUCCCCGAAAGCUAUUUAGGUAGCGCCUCGUGAAUUCAUCUCCGGGGGUAGAGCACUGUUUCGGCUAGGGGGCCAUCCCGGCUUACCAACCCGAUGCAAACUGCGAAUACCGGAGAAUGUUAUCACGGGAGACACACGGCGGGUGCUAACGUCCGUCGUGAAGAGGGAAACAACCCAGACCGCCAGCUAAGGUCCCAAAGUCAUGGUUAAGUGGGAAACGAUGUGGGAAGGCCCAGACAGCCAGGAUGUUGGCUUAGAAGCAGCCAUCAUUUAAAGAAAGCGUAAUAGCUCACUGGUCGAGUCGGCCUGCGCGGAAGAUGUAACGGGGCUAAACCAU